CAUAUACUCCCUCCGUCCAAAAUUACUUGUCCUAAAAAUGAAUAAAAUGGAUGUAUCUAUAUAACUAAAAUAAGUCUAGAUACAUUUACUUGUAGGACAAGUAUUUCCGGACGAAGGGAAUACUUC
rfam:Hordeum vulgare subsp. vulgare, WGS project CAJW01000000 data, contig: morex_contig_160090